GACCACUGCUAUUGGGGUUCGACUAAGCCAUGCAAGCGGAGGGCAGUUCGGCUGCCCCGCGGACGGCUCAGUAACACGUAGUCAACCUACCCUUGGGUCGGGUAUAACCCCGGGAAACUGGGGAUAAUCCCCGAUAGGUGGGGGUACUGGAAAAGUCCCUCCCCCAAAGCUCCGGCGCCCAAGGACGGGACUGCGGCCCAUCAGGUAGUUGGCGGGGUAACGGCCCACCAAGCCGACAACGGGUACGGGCUGUGAGAGCAGGAGCCCGGAGAUGGAGACUGAGACAAGGCUCCAGGCCCUACGGGGCGCAGCAGGUGCGAAAACUUCGCAAUGCGCGAAAGCGUGACGAGGGAACCCCAAGUGCCGAUGGUCUUUUUGAUCGUCGGCUUUUCAGGAGUUCAAAAAUCUCUUGGAAUAAGAGCUGGGCAAGACUGGUGCCAGCCGCCGCGGUAACACCAGCAGCUCAAGUGGUGGUCGCUAUUAUUGGGCCUAAAGCGUACGUAGCCGGGCCAGUAAGUCCUUUGUGAAAUCGGGCGGCUCAACCGUUCGGCUUGCAGGGGAAACUACAGGCCUUGGGGCCGGUAGACGUUGAGGGUACUCCGGGGGUAGCGGUGAAAUGCUCUAAUCCCUGGGGGACCACCAGUGGCGAAGGCGCUCAACGAGAACGGACCUGACGGUGAGGGACGAAGGCUAGGGGAGCGAACCGGAUUAGAUACCCGGGUAGUCCCAGCUGUAAACUAUGCAAACUCGGUGAUGCAUUGGCUUGAUGCCAAUGCAGUGCCGCAGGGAAGCCGUUAAGUUUGCCGCCUGGGAAGUACGUACGCAAGUAUGAAACUUAA
rnacentral:rRNA from 1 species